GAUGAACGCUGACAGAAUGCUUAACACAUGCAAGUCAACUUGAAUUUGGGGUUUUAACUUCGGGUUGGGUGGCGGACGGGUGAGUAACGCGUAAAGAACUUGCCUCACAGCUAGGGACAACAUUUGGAAACGAAUGCUAAUACCCAAUAUUAUGAUAAUAGGGAAUCCUAUAAUUAUGAAAGCUAUAAGCGCUGUGAGAGAGCUUUGCGUCCCAUUAGCUAGUUGGAGAGGUAACGGCUCACCAAGGCGAUGAUGAGUAGCCGGCCUGAGAGGGUGAUCGGGCACAGAGGGACUGGGGCGGCACCCGUACGGCAACGUGAGGCAGCAGUGGAGAAUAGAGGAAGAAAGGCCGAGAGUCUGAUGCAGCAAUUCGGUGUGCACGAUGAAGUUUUUCGGAAUGUAAACUGCUGUCAGUUGGGAGGAAACAGAUGACGGUACCAACAGAAGAAGUGACGGCUAACUACGUG
rnacentral:rRNA from 1 species